ACCCAGGAGGGGUCUGUGUCCUGUGUUUCUCGUGGCCCCGCCAACCCAGGAAGAGUGGUCUUUAAGAGCGUGUUGGAUUCUGUGGGACUCGGAAGAGGUGCCUGAACUUCCCUGUGCUUUUGAAGUCAAGGGACUCCUCCCAGUGAUUAGGAGCAGUGGAACCGUCCGGAUCCUGCCCUUGGUCCAUGCCUUUGGCCUUUGGUCAUGUAGUGGCGGCCCUUUGGGCUCUGCCAUUUGUGUUUCAGAUCAUCAGUUCUGCUAUGUGAAUGGGCAGGACUCUCCAUCGCCUUGGCAAGACAAGGUGCUCCUCGUCCAGGAAGUGUUAGGAGUCCUAGGAGCCAGCUCCUCCCAUGGGAUGUGGGCUCCCGAUGGAGGACAGAGUCUCUUCAGGGCCCUCCUGGGCUGCUGAAAUGGUCCAAGAAAACCCUUCAAGUUGACUUCCCUUCUCUAAUAUUCAAUUUUCUUGUCCAUCCAGUGGAAGAGUUGGAGUUGAUACUUGAUCCAUUUCAGCUCUAACUUACUAAAGUCUGUGAUGGCUCUGGACCUUCAUGUUUCAGGACCAGGCCUGGUCCUUCUCAGCUCUCACACUGAAGCCUCAGAACCAGCCUCACUUGGAGGGUGGUCUUCAGCUCCCAGCCAAAAGCCUCGCUUGAACCUCCUCACACUUCAAAGACAAGGAUGGUACCCGCAUGCCACUCAGCCCUUGGAAGGGAGAAACAGUUUGGCAAAGGCCACAGAAUGGACCUCGUCUCCUUACACCGAGCCCAGGGCUCCAUUUAGCAGCCACCUUUCCACCCCCACCCCCAUCUCCUCCCCUCACCCCGAUAUGCAUCUACAUGGCUGCAAACAAGAGCAGCCAAGUGUAGGACCUCCACCCACUGCCAUCAGCAGACACUCAAGUGGACAGGCUGGACUGGAGAACAAGAACAAGAAAGAUCCCUCGGUGUCUGCAAUGGCUCAAACUUGAAAAGACAGAGCCUUCUCCAAACAUUUACAUUUCUGCCAGGCGAAGAUUCAUGGGACUCUGAAUCCCAAAAUAUACAGGUUUUCAUGGGAAGAUUCAAAGGGGAUCCUGCUCAUUUUGUGACAAUUUAAUCAGUCUUGCCAAUGUCACUGAAGAACAAGAGAAUAAAGUGCCUGUUGUGGCUCA
rnacentral:lncRNA from 1 species